UACGUAGGGCGCAAGCGUUUGUCCGGAAUUAUUGGGCGUAAAGAGCUCGUAGGCGGUCUGUCGCGUCGGCUGUGAAAACCCGAGGCUCAACCUCGGGCCUGCAGUCGAUACGGGCAGACUAGAGUGCGGUAGGGGAGAUUGGAAUUCCUGGUGUAGCGGUGGAAUGCGCAGAUAUCAGGAAGAACACCCGUGGCUAAGGCGGCUCUCUAGUACGGUACUGACGCUGAGACGCGAAAGCGUGGGGAGCGAACAGGAUUAAGAAACCC
rnacentral:rRNA from 1 species